UACGUAGGGUGCAAGCGUUGUCCGGAAUUAUUGGGCGUAAAGAGCUCGUAGGCGGUCUGUCGCGUCUGCUGUGAAAACUCAGGGCUUAACCCUGAGCUUGCAGUGGGUACGGGCAGACUAGAGUGCGGUAGGGGAGACUGGAAUUCCUGGUGUAGCGGUGAAAUGCGCAGAUAUCAGGAGGGAACACCGGUGGCGAAGGCGGGUCUCUGGGCCGUAACUGAACGCUGGAG
rnacentral:rRNA from 1 species